rnacentral:lncRNA from 1 species
AUGGAAUGUAACAGCAGCCAGUGCCUGCCUUCAGAUCAUACCAUGGUGGAACCCAAGGCAUCAUGUAUUCAGCAGGGAAUUCUGAUCAGGGACGCCAUCAACCAAAAGGCCUUUUUCAAAUCAAGAAACAGAAUGGCCCCCAUGCAACUCUUACUUUCAAAAUGCAGUAGACCUGGUGCCAGAAGCCUGUGUUUCCUCCAAAUGUAUGUCUCACACCCAGAAAUGAAGGCCCAGAUCCUCUGAAAGUAUGUAGCCCAGCACUCACCACAGUGCGUCAUUACACACUUGCUCUGCAGGUGACCCAGUGCCAUUUUUAAACUCUUGUAUUGAAGUAUAUCAGAUAAACAGGAAAAGUACACAUAUCAUAUAUAACUUGAUGAAUUUCUACAAAGUAAACAUAUCCCUGUAAACAGCAUCCAGAUCAAGAAACAAAACACCCCCCAGAACUCAAAGACACCUAUCCUGACUUCUUUCACUGUAGAUUAGUGUUGUCUGUCUUUAGAUCUUCUCUAAAUGCGGUUGUUCAGCGUGUACUCUUUUAUGUCUGGCUUCUUUUGUUUGAUAGUCAUUUUAUGAACUUCAGACCUCGAGUCUUAAAAAUUUAUUUAUUUUAAAAAAUUUUUUUAAAGAAAAAGAGGAGAGAGUGGGCCGGCCUCUGUGAAAUGAGAUCAGCCUGAAGUCUUUUUGUCAAGAAAAAUUAGGAGGAACUUCAUUAUUUCUGUCUAAUGAACUAAGGAUAGGAAUCCCUACUCGUCUCUGUGAUUUAUUUGUUUGUUUAUUUAUUCAUUUAUUCAUUUUCUUUUGAGAUGGGGUCUCACUCUGCUACCCAGGCUGGAGUGCAAUGGUGUAAUCAUGGCUCACUGCAGCGUCGACCUCCUGAGCUCAAACAAUCCUCCCACCUCAGCCUCCUGAUACUGAAUCAAUUCAGAGGGACUCAGGCCAUUGCAAAGUUGUGUCUUUGCCUUGAGAAUGUCUAUAAUCUCACUCAGGUACAAGAAAGUGUCUUAAGAGUGUCUGUAAUAUCACUCAGGUAAAAGAAAAUGGUGGAUGGAAAAUAACCUUCCAAAGAAGCUUGGGUUAAUUUAAGCACCCAAGAAAUGUUAAUCUUGGGCAACACUUCAGCCUUGUUCCAGUAGCUCCUGAGUACAAUAUUCUGGCAAUUUCUCAAACUUUAAUAUGCAUCAGAGGUCCUCAUGUACCAGCAGAGCUCAUUAACACACAGAUUGCUGGGUCUCACCCCCAGAGUUUCUGGUUCAGUAGAUCUGGGAUGGGGGCUUGAGAAUUUGCAUUUCUAACACAUCCCCAGGUGAUGCCCAUACUCCUGGUUCUGGGACCACACUUUGAGAACCGCUGAUCUAUUCGUUAUCACACCUUCCUGAAGUCCAAGGAGUCUAUGAAGAUGGCCCAGGGAGCGCCUUGGAGAGCACUUCAGGGAGCAAGGAGAGUAAGUUGGUGAGAUCAGAACUCUCAACUCCACUUCAACCAGAGAAGCUCUCCUCUUGUUUGGUAUUUGGGGGGAUUCCGGGUAAUACUUGCAGAAAGGGUUCUGCUACUAAAAUAUUUUAAAGUUGAAACUCACUGUGGUAAGAAAUUUUAGACCCUAGGGGAAUGAUAUACUUAAACGACAUGGUGGUGUGUCUGGAAAGUAAUCCAGCCUGCUACAGAAGCCUGGCCUCAUGUGUGCUCACAAUCUAGAUGGUCCUGAGGGGAGACUUAAUUUCUUUAGAACUUAAAGAAGUGGAUAUUUAUGAGGAUGGAAAUGAUAAGGAAGAAUGCUUAAUUAUAAAAAGGUGCCAAAUUGUGUGUAUAAAACAUGGUUUCUUCUGGCAACACAGCACACUAAGAUGAUAAGACUAGUGCCUCGUUCCCAAUACAAACAUAGACUAACACUAGAUCAACUAGAACAAAAGUUUACAUUUCUAGCUGAGCUUUAAAAAAAUAAAAAGCAAAAGCUGUAGGGAAACAAAAGGAAAAACAAAAGGCAGUGUAGUAAUUGUAAACAGACACUGCAGUGUCCUGUGUGGUAUUGGUUCCAGAUAUCAGGCCCUAAUGGCUAGGGACUUGGAGCUGGGAGUCCAAUACCCAUCCAGGUGCUGACAACACAGCUUCAGGUCCACCACAGGCAGAGAAGCUAUAGUUGAAACCUCUGGGUAAAGCCUUUAAUAGCUUCUCUUGUCCAUUAAAAGGGGGUUAGAGAAUAAACAAUGAAAGGGCUUAUGUUGUCUGUGGAACCACAAGGAGAAAUAAAAAUCUCAGGCCUAUGUUCUAUGUGGAUGUGGGGUCAAAAUUUACUAUGUGGUAUGGGAACCACUUGCUGAAAAGUUAAAAGUUGAGACAGAACCAUUGAAACUUAUAGAAUCUCAGCAAAAGCAAACGCAAUACAUUUUUGUGAUCCAGGGUAAUGGAACGCCACAGAAAAAGAAAGGAUCUCCUGAAGAUGGGCUCAGAAAUAAGCAACAGUAGAAAUCAAGUCCUUGCAUAUAAAUGAUAUGCCAUGAAGGAGAGUCACCAGUUGCCAUAAGGAGAAUUAGUACCCCCAAGAAAUACUGCUGAGAAGAACUGCUUCUCUUUUUUUGAGAGUGAAAUGAGGAAACUUUCAGGGAAAAAAAAACAAAACAAAAUUAAGAACAUUUAGCAAUAAUAGCGUCUCACAAGAAUAACUACCAUAAGAGAUACUUCAGGAAGGAGGAACAUGAAAGUAGAGAGAAGGGGUGAAUAGGAGGCAAGGAACAGUGAACAAAAAUUGUAAACGUGGGGAACUCUAAAUAAGCAUUAAUUAUAUAAGGCAAUAAUAAUGCUAAAGAACAUGGGAGUAUAAAAACAAGCUGGCACUAAAAACAGAAGCACACAAAAACAUGUAGGACACACCCCACAAAUAUGUGCAACUAUUAUGUAUUCAUAAAAAGAAAAAUAAAUAAACAUGUAAGACAGCAGGGCACUAUUCAUAUUUAAAGCAUUCUAAGGUGGUUGUAUCGUUUGGAAAGACAGUAGGGAUAUUGCCUGAAUUUAGACCUUGUUAAGUCAAGUAUGAAUGUUUAACCACUUAAGAGUAUGGACUUCUAGGUUCUGGCAAUGGGAGAAUUAGUUAUUUGAUUUGACUUUAUUAUUGAAUUAAUGAAAAAAUGCUGAAUAAAAUAUUUUGAAACUACUUUAAAAGCACUGAAGAACUGAGAGGACAAAGGAAAACUUCCAGGCCAACUUUUGGAUGACAGCUGUAACCAAACAAGUAAACAGAAUAUAGAGGCACCAAAGCCAAUUUGCUUUAAGGGCAUUUGCCUACACUGCCCACCUGAGCUUUGAUUCAAUGGCCACACAGGGUUGGGGGAAAGAAGGCA